rnacentral:rRNA from 1 species
GUAGGUGGCAAGCGUUGUCCGGAAUUAUUGGGCGUAAAGCGCGCGCAGGGCGGUCCUUUAAGUCUGAUGUGAAAGCCCACGGCUCAACCGUGGAGGGUCAUUGGAAACUGGGGGACUUGAGUACAGAAGAGGAAAGCGGAAUUCCAAGUGUAGCGGUGAAAUGCGUAGAGAUUUGGAGGAACACCAGUGGCGAAGGCGGCUUUCUGGUCUGUAACUGACGCUGAGGCGCGAAAGCGUGGGGAGCAAACAGGAUUAGAUACCCUGGUAGUCCACGCCGUAAACGAUGAGUGCUAAGUGUUAGGGGGUUUCCGCCCCCUUAGUGCUGCAGCUAACGCAUUAAGCACUCCGCCUGGGGAGUACGGCCGCAAGGCUG